AGUGAACGCUGGCGGUAGGCCUAACACAUGCAAGUCGAACGGCAGCACAGUAAGAGCUUGCUCUUACGGGUGGCGAGUGGCGGACGGGUGAGGAAUACAUCGGAAUCUACUUUUUCGUGGGGGAUAACGUAGGGAAACUUACGCUAAUACCGCAUACGACCUACGGGUGAAAGCAGGGGAUCUUCGGACCUUGCGCGAUUGAAUGAGCCGAUGUCGGAUUAGCUAGUUGGCGGGGUAAAGGCCCACCAAGGCGACGAUCCGUAGCUGGUCUGAGAGGAUGAUCGGCCACACUGGAACUGAGACACGGUCCAGACUCCUACGGGAGGCAGCAGUGGGGAAUAUUGGACAAUGGGCGCAAGCCUGAUCCAGCCAUACCGCGUGUGUGAAGAAGGCCUUCGGUUUGUAAAGCCCUUUUGUUGGGAAAGAAAAGCAGCAGGUUAAUACCCCGCUGUUCUGACGGUACCCAAAGAAUAAGCACCGGCUAACUUCGUG
rnacentral:rRNA from 1 species